AGCUUUGCGCAGUGGCAGUAUCCUAGCCAAUGAGGUUUAUCCAAGGCGCGAUUAUUGCUAAUUAAAAGGCAGGCAGAAGGAGAACCCC
rnacentral:snRNA from 1 species